rnacentral:rRNA from 1 species
ACAGAGGUGGCAAGCGUUGUUCGGAUUUACUGGGCGUAAAGGGGGUCUAGGUGGUUCGGUAUGUCUUCCGUGAAAUCCCGGAGCUUAACUCCGGAACUGCGGGGGAAACUGCCGAACUUGAGCGCAUGAUACGUAAACGGAAUACUGGGUGUAGCGGUGAAAUGCGUAGAUAUCCAGUAGAACACCUGCGGCGAAAGCGGUUUACGAGCGUGUUGCUGACACUGAAGCCCGAAAGUGUGGGGAUCAAACAG